AGGACGAACGCUGGCGGCGUGCUUAACACAUGCAAGUCGAGCGGUAAGGCCCCUUCGGGGGUACACGAGCGGCGAACGGGUGAGUAACACGUGAGCAAUCUGCCCUUCACAUCGGGAUAACCUCGGGAAACCGAAGCUAAUACCGGAUACGACCACCGAAGGCAUCUUCUGGUGGUGGAAAGUUCCGGCGGUGAAGGAUGAGCUCGCGGCCUAUCAGCUUGUUGGUGGGGUAAUGGCCUACCAAGGCGACGACGGGUAGCCGGCCUGAGAGGGUGACCGGCCACACUGGGACUGAGACACGGCCCAGACUCCUACGGGAGGCAGCAGUGGGGAAUAUUGGACAAUGGGCGAAAGCCUGAUCCAGCAACGCCGCGUGAGGGAUGACGGCCUUCGGGUUGUAAACCUCUUUCAGCAGGGACGAAGCGCAAGUGACGGUACCUGCAGAAGAAGCACCGGCCAACUACGUGCCAGCAGCCGC
rnacentral:rRNA from 1 species